rnacentral:rRNA from 1 species
UAGGGAAUCUUCCGCAAUGGACGCAAGUCUGACGGAGCAACGCCGCGCGAGUGAAGAAGGAUUUCGGUUCGUAAAACUCUGUUGUUAGAGAAGAACAGCGCAUAGAGUAACUGUUAUGCGUGUGACGGUAUCUAACCAGAAAGCCACGGCUAACUACGUGCCAGCAGCCGCGGUAAUACGUAGGUCCCGAGCGUUGUCCGGAUUUAUUGGGCGUAAAGCGAGCGCAGGCGGUUAGAAAAGUCUGAAGUGAAAGGCAGUGGCUCAACCAUUGUAGGCGUUGGAAACUAUUUAACUUGAGUGCAGAAGGGGAGAGUGGAAGUCCAUGUGUAGCGGUGAAGUGCGUAGAUAUAUGGAGGAACACCGGUGGCGAAAGCGGCUCUCUGGUCUGUAACUGACGCGGAGGCUCGAAAGCGUGGGGAGCGAACAGG